GCCCGGGUGGCGGAAUUGGUAGACGCACCGGACUCAAAAUCCGGCGGUAGUGAUACUGUGCGAGUUCGAGUCUCGCCCCGGGCACCA
rnacentral:tRNA from 1 species